UCGUAUCUCCUUAUGUAAGUGAAUUUUGACCUCCGUGUUUCCUUGAAGUGAUCCCCUCGCUCCCAUAGUCAGCCAGUAUAUCUUCUGGAUCUUUGUUUUCCUUAUCAAGUUUGCCCAUAGAAUUUGAUAAGUGGUGUACACUAAGAUCCUAUUAAAGGCUGCAUAUAAAGAUUUUUUCAAAAUUGACCUUAGAAGUGCUCUUAUACCAAGAGCUUCAGUACAUGUGAUCGUAUAGUGUUUUAAUAUAAAUUCAAAGUACUAAUAGAUAUAUUAAAUACAAAAACUCAUGAAUGAGAUAUCCAAGUUUAUAAAAACUAUAGUAACACACCAUUAAUGGCAAACUACAUAAGAAAUAAAUUAAAAUGGCCAAUUGUCGAUAUAUGUUUAAAUAAUUUUAUAUUCAUUCUCAUUGAAGACUUAUUAGUUUUACAUCUUUAUUAGUGCCAAUGUGUUCUAAUACUAUCUGGAGCAAGGUGACUAUAUAUAAGGUGUGUCGAUAAGAAAUUUAUUUGCUUUUGUUUACGAUUGCACUGGCCUUUUUAUCACCGCAGAGUCAGUUGGUAGCCUGACUUAUUGGAGACAGUGGACUAUAUAGAGACAACCAAUCAAAUCAUUUUAUACUGGUCCUAAAAAUAUUGAUAAAAUUGGUAUUUCGAACAAAAACUUUUUUUUAAAAGGAAGAAUUGGGCUAUUAAUGUAGCUGCAGGAAGAAAGAAAGAGAAAAGAAGCAAAACAAUAAUACAAUAACAAUAAUUUUGAAAUCAAAGAUUUUGACAGAUUCAUUUUGUAAAUCUGAGGAGUCGUCAUGUGGUAGGUGGAUUACGGAUUGAAGAUAAGCCUAUUUAAUUCUCUCAAUCUCUUCACCAAUCCCUAGAUCGAGAUCAACUCGUCAAGAGUUCCAUGGAUUCAUGGAUGAAUGAUCAUGUUUAUUGCUAACCUAUGCAAGUAGCAUGCAUAUCCAACAGAUGAGUUGUGAACACAUUAGUAAUUUUCUGAUCAAAUAGAAAAGUUCAAAAGCAAGUUUUCCUCAAGUGAAUUUCUAUACUGUGUCUCAUAUUCCAUUCGGAUUCGUCUCCAUCCAAAGAUGUCUUGCUAUGGAUUGCUUUCAAGUCCUCGUGUCCAACUGCAUAGUGAACAUAACAAUCAUAGCAAUAAGAAUUUUGAAACUGUAUCAUAAUGACCUUCACGCUACCUCAGGUAUCCACAAGGUUUCCCCAAAUUUUUCCGUCGAGGUGACUUCUGACUAUGCUAAUUAGUUUUUUUUUUUUUUUCUAAAUUGAUUUACCUGAUCCGGAUUUUUAAAUAGUGCCUUUUUAUUAUUACGAAUUAUGUAUAUAUAUUAAAUCAAAUAGUAACACAAUACAAAUUCUAAAAUAAAUAAAUACAUACA
rnacentral:lncRNA from 1 species